GGAAACUUAAUUAAGUUAAUUUAUAAAAAGACUAUUGUUUGUUCAUCUUGGACCUUUUUUUUUUGCCUUACAGGAGUAACUGAUCGAGCUGAAUGAACUGAACUUAAGAGAAUGGCGGAAACGAAUGAAACCGAACCUGAAUGCCCAAGUGUCAUUCACGUUUCAUGGGUUGGUAUCACUCCACUUUUUCCUUUCAAAAUGGCGGAGGAGUCGGUUACCGAAAUUUCGCCGGUCUUGGGAGGAGUGUGUUCCUUUCUGAGGAGUUUGUGAUUUCCGAGGAGUGCAACCUUUGUGAGGCCACACGCUAGAAACACGGUUAUGGGGCCAGGAAAUGUUGCACUUCAUCCAUAAUGAAGGAAUUCAUAGUGCUUGAGCUGAAAAACAUCUCCCACCAGAAGAUAUGUAAACAAAGAACUGUCGCGAUUGUGGGGCCGCCGGGCCGCCGUCAGUGACCCCAGAAGCAUUGACGAGUUAACAACACACAGUUCCGACGUUGCCUUUAUCUAUUUUGAAUUCACAACGCAUAAUUUAGUCUUUUCUGCUCUCUUUCCGCUGAAAGUUGUAUUGCAUUACUGAUUUUAAGAAAAACCUUUUCAUGAAAAAACCUUUGGCAACAGAAAAAAUCGUGACCGCAAGUCAAGUGAAAAGUUAGAGGUUAGGUUUACUGAUCGCGCUAGAGCUGGAGUUUUGGUUUUUGUAUUUCUUUUACUGCUAUGUCCACCACCGAAGUCUCCGUCACCAUCGUGCAGAAAAGGAAACUUUUAAAAGCUAGAAGGAAAAUGAGCUCCUGCCCAUACUGCAGAAUGGAGGUGGACCCCACCCCUGAUCAAUUGCGUCUGCAAUUACUAGUAGACACGCUAAAGCUGGAUUUGAGCAGCCUUACAGCCGCAGAAGUAAUAACAAUUAGAGCUGAAAUGUUCACCUUAAUCGCAAAAUUCCUUCAAGUAAGUUAAUAAAUCAUGAACAAAUUACAAUCCAUAGCAAGUCGUUUUACAAUUGGACCGCAUUUUAGAAUUCUGAACUACAAUUUCAGGUACAGCAAUGAAAGUACCUAUAGGGAAACUUAUCUUUCUAACAUGAGCCAGAAAUUCUAGUUCCUUUUUGCAAAAUGCAGUCCAGUCAGUUUGAAAUGAUACUGACCGUAACAGAAUUCAGAAAUUAUGGACUUUCUUGUCUGACAACAUAAAAAUAGCUACAUACCUAAUAAUCAAUAACUAAAAAAGGAAGAAAAAUCACUUAAUGUUUUCCGAAUGCUAUAACCCUUUUUAAUUGAUUUUAGAAAUCGUCCAAUCCUCUUUGCAAUGCUGUUGAGAUUGUCCUCUUUUUUGCACUAAUUUGACAAGAAUAAGAAUCAGAAGAAUUGAACCAGAAUUUUACGUAGAACACGAUUGGCGCAACAAAAAUUACUGAAAUAAACUCCUAACUAAAAUACUAACGUUUUAAUUGUACAUUGGUUGCGGGAAAUUUGAAUCGCCCGAUCACAAGGAAUGCACCGCAGGAGUCAAAUCGGGCAAUACAAUGAUAGUGGCGGGCCUCUCAAUCUAUCAACAUUUCUUCCUCAUCUUAUGAUGUUCAUAAAGUAAUCAACGUGCAAUAGCUGAACCAAAGUGCCGAGAUCAAGGUUGGCAUAUUUUCAUGCGGCAGAGUGUCAGGGUAAGGUUUAGGGCACGAUUUAGCUCAUGUAGACUAUUCCAUGAGUGGGAGGUUUGAAUUUACAGUGUUGUAAUCUUUUUUCUUUUUUUAGGUAGAUUUCGAAGAAAUAUCUACCUAUUGCAGACGGUACGACCUCGUAAUUUUCCGGAAUUUUCGCUCAAAGAGCAUCGAUCCUGAAGCCCUGAGUUGAAAUAUGUAGGUCAUAAAAAAAGUACGAUAUAUAUUUAUAUAUAUAUAUAUAUAUAACUGGGAUCUAACGAACCUUUGCGACCGUUUUUUUCCGAAACUAUCCGUACGAUCAAAACGAAACUAAGCAUGGUUCUUCACUGCUAUGAGGUCUAGAUCAAGUUUCCUUUUUCGUGAAAAUCGGUCCACCCCUUAUCCGGAAAAUCUCAAGUCCAAAGGGGGAUGAUUUUUCAAACUCGUCCGAUCUUAGUCGGCGAUACGUCAAAAAACUCGUCUCGUCGUGGCCUUCAAAACAACCUAUAUUCACCUACCCUCUAAAACCACCCCUUAUCCGGAAAAUCUCAAGUCCAAAGGGGGAUGAUUUUUCAAACUCGUCCGAUCUUAGUCGGCGAUACGUCAAAAAACUCGUCUCGUCGUGGCCUUCAAAACAAUCUAUAUUUACCUACCCUCUAAAACCACCCCUUAUCCGGAAAAUCUCAAGUCCAAAGAGGGAUGAUUUUUCAAACUCGUCCGAUCUUAGUCGGUGAUACGUCUAAAUACUCGUCUCGUCGUGGCCUUCAAAACAACCUAUAUUCACCUACCCUCUAAAACCACCCCUUAUCCGGAAAAUCUCAAGUCCAAAGGGGGAUGAUUUUUCAAACUCGUCCGAUCUUAGUCGGUGAUACGUCAAAAAACUCGUCUUGUCGUGGCCUUCAAAACAACCUAUAUUCACCUACCCUCUAAAACCACCCCUUAUCCGAAAAAUCUCAAGUUCAAGGGGGGCGAUUUUCCGACCUGACAGGCUCAUCAGGCGCAGUUGUUUUCAUAGAGACGAUUAGUCGAAAUCUACCUCUCGUUUCCACUGUGGCUGGAAAGCGUUUUUUUCUUUUGUAGAAAAGACGGCAAGCUGAAGAUAUUGAAGAUCUCGAUGGAGGAACCGUCAAAAGAAUGAAGAGGGAAGACAAUGCUUGAACUUUUUCAGAUGAAUUAUCUUUAUAAUAUUGUAUAAAUAUAUAUAAAUUGGAAUAAUGUUAAUUAAUUUGUAUGAUGUAUGUAAAUAUACAAUAACUUGUUUAUUUCAUUAAAAUUUUAAAAUG
rnacentral:lncRNA from 1 species